rnacentral:other from 1 species
AGUUCCCUGCCGUGUUUGCGAUUGCCAUAUAUUCCUUGAACCAUUCACGAGCAUAGGUCGUGGGAAUUUGUUCGACGGGCGUGAGCGUCGCUAGUCCGAUGAACCCGAAGUUGAACUAACUGCGACCACCUUGAACCGUCAGGUUCGGGAUGCCGGCACAGCGGCACAGGCGGGGCUUGA